UGAGUAAUUAAAUUGAUCAAUCAUCAUUGGCUUGCCUGACGGCGACGUUAGGCGCCAUCAUGACCUAUAAAAGAUUUUGGGUCGUGACACUACUGCUCUCCCUCACCUCCAUGGCCUAACUGCUCUCUCUUGGCAGAUCUGUCGCCUCUAGUGAGCAGGUUCAAGAAGCCAUCCUCGCCGGAACGACCUCUGAUCUACCAUAUUUGGCCGUUAAUGAUGGUCUCUGGAAACGAGCUUCGAGCUCUGUUACUGGAUCAUUUUGUUGUUGCUCACCCACCAGAUUUAUUUUAGAUCCGGUUGAAAACUGUUUUCCGGCGAUCUGCCCAGAAAACGUUAAGAUCGGCGAUGACUAUCUCCUUCUCUCUCUCUCUAAUUUUUUGUUUUUGUUUAUACGUAAAUAAUUUAAGGUUUGGACUUGAAAAUCUCUAACAAGAUCUUACCUGAAAUUAGAAUUUUGGCAACUUUUAUAUAUAUAUAUAUAUAUAUUCUUAGUCGUUACUACUUAUUUGAGGCGUCACUUGGUGCCUAUUCAUGAUCUUUUGUGUCAUUCCUACUGCUGCUAUUCUUGAAGCUUCUACAAUCUUUGAAGGUUUGGAAUAACUGUUUGUGACUGAAGAUUUCCCUGCUGCCUGUUGCGAUCUGUUGAGACCGUUGCUCAUUUGCUGACUUUUGUAUUUUUUGCUGCUAUCUCUCUUGGUCCACAAAUCUCGUCCCUAUCGAUUGUUUAAUCAGUGUUAACAAUUUGUGAUGAAGUUUGAUGCUUUUGGAUGGAUUAUUAGUGUUACUGUCAUUUUGUUCCCGUUGGAUUGUAUUUUUACCCAUUUGACAGUGUGCGUCAUAAUUGGUAGGCACCGCUACUGUUCUUCCGGCGAAGAUCAUCAUUGGUGCCGUUAAUUUGGUGGCUGUUAUUAUUGUUCAUAAUAGGCCGAUGAGAAUAAUAUUUUGAGGCCACAAAGCCCCGAAUGACUCUCCGGAUUGGGCCCUAAUAACGAGGCGAUGAUGAUAAACAUCAGAAAAUAAAAGACGAGGAUGCGAUGAACCAACAACCUUGUGUUACGACCCAAAAUCUAUCUAGUCGUGAUGACACUUAACUCAACCCGUCAGGUUACCACGAACAAGAGGCAGCUACAACC